GGUUAAGCGACUAAGCGUACACGGUGGAUGCCCUGGCAGUCAGAGGCGAUGAAGGACGUGCUAAUCUGCGAUAAGCGUCGGUAAGGUGAUAUGAACCGUUAUAACCGGCGAUUUCCGAAUGGGGAAACCCAGUGUGAUUCGUCACACUAUCAUUAACUGAAUCCAUAGGUUAAUGAGGCGAACCGGGGGAACUGAAACAUCUAAGUACCCCGAGGAAAAGAAAUCAACCGAGAUUCCCCCAGUAGCGGCGAGCGAACGGGGAGGAGCCCAGAGCCUGAAUCAGUGUGUGUGUUAGUGGAAGCGUCUGGAAAGGCGCGCGAUACAGGGUGACAGCCCCGUACACAAAAAUGCACAUGCUGUGAGCUCGAUGAGUAGGGCGGGACACGUGGUAUCCUGUCUGAAUAUGGGGGGACCAUCCUCCAAGGCUAAAUACUCCUGACUGACCGAUAGUGAACCAGUACCGUGAGGGAAAGGCGAAAAGAACCCCGGCGAGGGGAGUGAAAAAGAACCUGAAACCGUGUACGUACAAGCAGUGGGAGCGGGCGUUAAGUUGCAGGGUAUAGACCCGAAACCCGGUGAUCUAGCCAUGGGCAGGUUGAAGGUUGGGUAACACUAACUGGAGGACCGAACCGACUAAUGUUGAAAAAUUAGCGGAUGACUUGUGGCUGGGGGUGAAAGGCCAAUCAAACCGGGAGAUAGCUGGUUCUCCCCGAAAGCUAUUUAGGUAGCGCCUCGUGAAUUCAUCUCCGGGGGUAGAGCACUGUUUCGGCAAGGGGGUCAUCCCGACUUACCAACCCGAUGCAAACUGCGAAUACCGGAGAAUGUUAUCACGGGAGACACACGGCGGGUGCUAACGUCCGUCGUGAAGAGGGAAACAACCCAGACCGCCAGCUAAGGUCCCAAAGUCAUGGUUAAGUGGGAAACGAUGUGGGAAGGCCCAGACAGCCAGGAUGUUGGCUUAGAAGCAGCCAUCAUUUAAAGAAAGCGUAAUAGCUCACUGGUCGAGUCGGCCUGCGCGGAAGAUGUAACGGGGCUAAACCAUGCACCGAAGCUGCGGCAGCGACACUGUGUGUUGUUGGGUAGGGGAGCGUUCUGUAAGCCUGUGAAGGUGUACUGUGAGGUAUGCUGGAGGUAUCAGAAGUGCGAAUGCUGACAUAAGUAACGAUAAAGCGGGUGAAAAGCCCGCUCGCCGGAAGACCAAGGGUUCCUGUCCAACGUUAAUCGGGGCAGGGUGAGUCGACCCCUAAGGCGAGGCCGAAAGGCGUAGUCGAUGGGAAACAGGUUAAUAUUCCUGUACUUGGUGUUACUGCGAAGGGGGGACGGAGAAGGCUAUGUUGGCCGGGCGACGGUUGUCCCGGUUUAAGCGUGUAGGCUGGUUUUCCAGGCAAAUCCGGAAAAUCAAGGCUGAGGCGUGAUGACGAGGCACUACGGUGCUGAAGCAACAAAUGCCCUGCUUCCAGGAAAAGCCUCUAAGCAUCAGGUAACAUCAAAUCGUACCCCAAACCGACACAGGUGGUCAGGUAGAGAAUACCAAGGCGCUUGAGAGAACUCGGGUGAAGGAACUAGGCAAAAUGGUGCCGUAACUUCGGGAGAAGGCACGCUGAUAUGUAGGUGAAGUCCCUCGCGGAUGGAGCUGAAAUCAGUCGAAGAUACCAGCUGGCUGCAACUGUUUAUUAAAAACACAGCACUGUGCAAACACGAAAGUGGACGUAUACGGUGUGACGCCUGCCCGGUGCCGGAAGGUUAAUUGAUGGGGUCAGCGCAAGCGAAGCUCUUGAUCGAAGCCCCGGUAAACGGCGGCCGUAACUAUAACGGUCCUAAGGUAGCGAAAUUCCUUGUCGGGUAAGUUCCGACCUGCACGAAUGGCGUAAUGAUGGCCAGGCUGUCUCCACCCGAGACUCAGUGAAAUUGAACUCGCUGUGAAGAUGCAGUGUACCCGCGGCAAGACGGAAAGACCCCGUGAACCUUUACUAUAGCUUGACACUGAACAUUGAGCCUUGAUGUGUAGGAUAGGUGGGAGGCUUUGAAGUGUGGACGCCAGUCUGCAUGGAGCCGACCUUGAAAUACCACCCUUUAAUGUUUGAUGUUCUAACGUGGACCCGUGAUCCGGGUUGCGGACAGUGUCUGGUGGGUAGUUUGACUGGGGCGGUCUCCUCCUAAAGAGUAACGGAGGAGCACGAAGGUUGGCUAAUCCUGGUCGGACAUCAGGAGGUUAGUGCAAUGGCAUAAGCCAGCUUGACUGCGAGCGUGACGGCGCGAGCAGGUGCGAAAGCAGGUCAUAGUGAUCCGGUGGUUCUGAAUGGAAGGGCCAUCGCUCAACGGAUAAAAGGUACUCCGGGGAUAACAGGCUGAUACCGCCCAAGAGUUCAUAUCGACGGCGGUGUUUGGCACCUCGAUGUCGGCUCAUCACAUCCUGGGGCUGAAGUAGGUCCCAAGGGUAUGGCUGUUCGCCAUUUAAAGUGGUACGCGAGCUGGGUUUAGAACGUCGUGAGACAGUUCGGUCCCUAUCUGCCGUGGGCGCUGGAGAACUGAGGGGGGCUGCUCCUAGUACGAGAGGACCGGAGUGGACGCAUCACUGGUGUUCGGGUUGUCAUGCCAAUGGCACUGCCCGGUAGCUAAAUGCGGAAGAGAUAAGUGCUGAAAGCAUCUAAGCACGAAACUUGCCCCGAGAUGAGUUCUCCCUGACCCUUUAAGGGUCCUGAAGGAACGUUGAAGACGACGACGUUGAUAGGCCGGGUGUGUAAGCGCAGCGAUGCGUUGAGCUAACCGGUACUAAUGAACCGUGAGGCUUAACCUU
rnacentral:rRNA from 1 species